AUGUAGUGGUUAUCACGUCAGUCUUACACACUGAAGGUCCCCAGUUCCAUCCUGGGCAU
rnacentral:tRNA from 1 species